rnacentral:rRNA from 1 species
UACGUAGGGGGCAAGCGUUGUCCGGAUUUAUUGGGCGUAAAGAGCACGCAGGCGGUCUCAUAAGUUUCGAGUGACAGGUGGUGGCUUAACUGCCACAGUGCUUGGAAAACUGUGAGACUUGAGAACUUCAGAGGGAUGCGGAAUUCCAGGUGGAGCGGUGAAAUGCGUAGAGAUCUGGAAGAACACCAAAGGCGAAGGCAGCAUCCUGGGAAGAAUCUGACGCUGAGGUGCGAAAGCCAGGGGAGCGAACGGG